UCUUUUUCGCCGCGGUGAGCCCCAAACACAUCCGCCCCUACUCCAGCUGCAGGUCUUCCUGCAGACGACGACGGCGGUGCCAAAGGGCCCCACAUCCCAACUGGAAGGCAGAUCCCCAGACCCAGAUCCCCUCCCUUUGCAGCCGAGGACGAGGCCCUGGAUUUCGUCGCCGAGGAGAAGCUGGCGGUUGAGGUGAAGGAGGAGGUCGCGGUGGUGUGGAGGAGGUCUAGGAGUACGUGGAGCCGUCGGAGGAGGCCAAGGUGUACGUGUGCAACCUUCCCUAUGACGCCAGCAACUAGCACCUUGCGCGGCUCUUCGAUCAGGCCGGCGUCGUCGAGGUUGCCGAGGCCAGCGCGUUGAGGUUACCGUGGUGAGCAGCUCUUCCUCUUCGACCAACUUCAGUGCUGGAUGAUAGUUUCACAGUCAAUAUGUGGCACCGGUGACAAAAGAUGCAUCAAGUUUGCACAAGGUUGCUUCCAUGACCAUACUUCAAAUAGGGAAAAUUAGUCUGCCUCUCAUCAUCAACUUUGGACCCUCUUUGCGUGGGCAUUUUUUUCAAAGCGUACUUAUAUAAAAUAAACUGUAUUGGUUUUUAGUUUAUAUCUGUCCAUGGUUUGCUCACAUCACAAAUAUUGCAGCUAGACAAUUCCCAAGUUUUUUUUAGAAAAGGAGGAUCACCCCCGGCCUCUGCAUCUGAUCGAUGCAUGCAGCCAUUUUAUUAAUUAUUCUCAGAGACCUUACAAAGCAUUACAUCAGUAUAAGCCUGGA